UACGUAGGGGGCAAGCGUUGUCCGGAUUUAUUGGGCGUAAAGGGCUCGUAGGCGGUUUGUCGCGUCGGGAGUGAAAACCAGGUGCUUAACACCUGGCUUGCUUUCGAUACGGGCAGACUAGAGGUAUUCAGGGGAGAACGGAAUUCCUGGUGUAGCGGUGAAAUGCGCAGAUAUCAGGAGGAACACCGGUGGCGAAGGCGGGUCUCUGGGCCGAUACUGACGCUGAGGAGCGAAAGCGUGGGGAGCGAACAGG
rnacentral:rRNA from 1 species